UUGAUCCUGGCUCACAACGAACGUUGGCGGCAUGCUUAAUACAUGCAAGUCGUACGAGAAAGCUCCUUCGGGAGUGAUUAGAGUGGCGCACGGGUGAGUAACACGUAGGUGACCUACCCAUUUGCGGGGGAUAACUUCGGGAAACUGAAGCUAAUACCGCAUAAGUUUUAUAGUUUGAACUACUAUAUCAGAAAGUCGGCCUCUGAUUUAAGCCGGCGCAGAUGGAUGGGCCUGCGGACCAUUAGUUUGUUGGUGGGGUAACGGCCUACCAAGGCGAUGAUGGUUAGCCGGUCUGAGAGGAUGAUCGGCCACACUGGAACUGAGACACGGUCCAGACUCCUACGGGAGGCAGCAGUAGGGAAUAUUGCGCAAUGGGCGAAAGCCUGACGCAGCAAUGCCGCGUGAGGGAGGACGGUUUUCGGACUGUAAACCUCUGUCAAAAGGGACAAAUUGUUUAUAUGUAAAUAGCAUAUAGAUUUGAUGGUACCUUUAGAGGAAGCACCGGCUAACUCCGUGCCAGCAGCCGCGGUAAUACGGAGGGUGCAAACGUUGUUCGGAUUUAUUGGGCGUAAAGCGCGCGCAGGCGGGAAAGCAAGUCAGGUGUGAAAUCUCGGGGCCUAACUCCGAAACUGCGCCUGAAACUGUUUACCUAGAAUCCCGGAGGGGGAUGGGGAAUUUCUCAUGUAGGGGUAAAAUCCGUAGAGAUGAGAAGGAACACCAGAGGAGUAAUCGCCAUCCUGGACGGGAAUUGACGCUGAGGCGCGAAGGCGUGGGUAGCAAACAGGAUUAGAUACCCUGGUAGUCCACGCGGUAAACGAUGAGCACUUGUUAUCGCGGGUAUUGACCCCUGCGGUGACGUAGCUAACGCGUUAAGUGCUCCGCCUGGGGAGUACGGUCGCAAGACUAAAACUCAAAGGAAUUGACGGGGGCCCGCACAAGCGGUGGAUCAUGUGGUUCAAUUCGAAGCAACGCGAAAAACCUUACCUGGACUUGACAUCCUGCGAACUUUCUAGAGAUAGAUUGGUGCCCUUCGGGGAACGCAGAGACAGGUGCUGCAUGGCUGUCGUCAGCUCGUGUUGUGAAAUGUUGGGUUAAGUCCCGCAACGAGCGCAACCCCUAUUCUUAGUUGCCAGCAUUUAGUUGGGCACUCUAAGGAGACGGCCCGGGUUAACCGGGAGGAAGGUGGGGAUGACGUCAAGUCCUCAUGGCCCUUAUGUCCAGGGCUACACACGUGAUACAAUGGCGCGUACAAAGGGAUGCCAACCUGCGAAGGGGAGCAAAUCUCAAAAAACGCGUCCCAGUUCGGAUUGGAGUCUGCAACUCGACUCCAUGAAGUUGGAAUCGCUAGUAAUCGCGGAUCAGCAUGCCGCGGUGAAUACGUUCCCGGGCAUUGUACACACCGCCCGUCACACCAUGGGAGUUGGUUCCAUCUUAAGCCGUGGCCCCAACAUUCGGGAGGGGAGCGUCCACGGUGGGACUAAUGACUGGGG
rnacentral:rRNA from 1 species